GUCACAGUGUCUUCAUGAGUAGAAUACUUUCAGCCCUGGUUUUCUGGAAGUCCUUAAUUUUGCUAUAGGGAAAAGGCACUUGUUCAGCUCAACAUGGCCCCCAUGUCAAACACUGAGCGCUGAAUUGCUUCAAGAUGCAAACCGCAUAGCUGAACUGUACCAAGAGCGCCAGACUCGAUUCUCCACGAUGCACCUACUGACCCAGCUUUGGAGUCCUUCUGCUCUAGGCAGACCCUGUCAAGUAACUGGAACUGUCAUGCAAAUUGAAGCAUAUGUGCCAUUCCUGGCAUUAACUGUAAAGUCAGGGCGGGACUUCCUUUCACUUAUUCAACAAUGGAGGCACCAGGAACUACCUGCAAAGGGCACUGCAGAGGGAAUUUGUGCUUAUGCGAGGAUGAGUCAGGUGACCGCUAAGACCCCUUGAAGAGUCCGUGGUUCAGAUGACGGUUCUCCCUGCUCCAAGCAUGCGGCCACCCAAGACACAGAGAGAAAAAUCCAGCCCAGCUGGAUACGUGUGAACUAAAUCUUUCUGAAAACGUCUCCUAUGCAUUUCUUUCCCCCUUAUCUUUAUUGGCCUCCUGAAAUGCCUUAUCUGCAAAGGCAUGAUUCUGUCCUCAAUCUCUGUCUAUGAACACAAUUACCAUUUCUGCUUCUUCCACAAGGUAAAAAUGAAUCAUGAAACGCA